GCUAGGGUGUAGCAACUGAUCCUAUACUACAGCAGAGAGAGUGAGAGUGAAAGGGAGGAGGGACAUCAGGUGUCACAGCUCUGCAACCCCUGUUGAGGCUGCAUUACCACGACAACCAGCUCCAGGGGUGCCGCCAGCUCUCUGCCUUGCCAGCCCAGCACCCAGUCGUCCACCCAGCCAGCUAUCCAGCUAUCUACCCAUCCAUCCGCCCAGCCAGCAAGGCCAGCCCUGCCCAGAACUGGCAACCUGAAGGAGUCAUCAGGCUGCCACAGAUGUAGCGAAGAUUAGGAGAGAGAGGAAGAGGCUGAGCUGACUCUGUACCCCCGGGGAGGACGCAAUGAGGUGGAACCACUUCUCUGCUUCCCCGCGGAAAAAAAAAAAAAAACAACAAAACACUUCCAACCAUCAGAGCGCCAUCUGCUGACUCGGUGG
ensembl:lncRNA